rnacentral:rRNA from 1 species
CACGUAGGGUGCGAGCGUUGUCCGGAAUUAUUGGGCGUAAAGAGCUCGUAGGCGGUGUGUCGCGUCGGCCGUGAAAACCUGCAGCUUAACUGUGGGCUUGCGGUCGAUACGGGCAUCACUGGAGUUCGGCAGGGGAGACUGGAAUUCCUGGUGUAGCGGUGAAAUGCGCAGAGUAUCAGGAGGAACAGCCGGUGGCGAAGGCGGGUCUCUGGGCCGAUACUGACGUGAGGAGCGAAAGCGUGGGGAGCGAACAGG